rnacentral:rRNA from 1 species
UACGUAGGGGGCAAGCGUUGUUCGGAAUUACUGGGCGUAAAGGGCGCGUAGGCGGCCUGCUAAGUCGAACGUGAAAUCCCUGGGCUCAACCCAGGAACUGCGUCCGAUACUGGUUGGCUUGAAUCCGGGAGAGGGACGUGGAAUUCCAGGUGUAGCGGUGAAAUGCGUAGAUAUCUGGAGGAACACCGGUGGCGAAGGCGACGUCCUGGACCGGCAUUGACGCUGAGGCGCGAAAGCCAGGGGAGCAAACAGG